rnacentral:lncRNA from 1 species
UGGGAACUCAGUGCAUUUAGUUGGAAACAUGAGGCAAAAGAUGGAGUGGGGAAUAUUCAAGACAUGAAAGACAAGAGAAAGUGUUUGUUCAGCAUCACUAUUGCCAGUCCUGACUGACAACGCAACACAUUGAAUUAGAGAUGUCACAUGAACAGGAAUCCAGGCAAAUCAAGGCAAACACCUUGGAAGUGGCCACAGUAUUUGGUGUGACCUCAGAGCGGCACUUUCAAAAAGUUGUUUAUUUUUUUCUCUGAGGAUGUUGGGUGGAACGGCAGACAUUAAUAGGUUUCCACAAGCCUCCAUUUUUCAGAUCAUGGACCUGUUCUUCUCUCUGCAAUUUGUCAGUUCAUCCCCACCCAAUACUUAUCAAGGACUACCAUGAGUCAGAGACUCUGCCAGCACUGGACACAGAAGGAAGAAGGCCUGGUCUGGGACAUCAUGGUGUUUAAAGUCCAGAGAAGUCAACGAGUGGGAAGGUGCCAAGAGCCCUUGCUCUUCCUGGUGUCUUUACCUGGUGAGCUCUGCCCCAUAUAUCCUUGUAACUGUGGUGUACAGAAUAAUGGUCCUCAAUGAUGUCCAUGUCCUGAUUCCCAGAACCUGGGAAGAUACGACCUCACAAGGAAAAAGAGACUUUGCAAAUAUGAAUGAGAUAAAGACCUGAAGAUAACGAGAUUAGCUUGAUUUGUUCAAGGGGGUUUAAUGUAGUUAUAAGACCCCUUAAAAGUGGACACAAGAGGCAGAAGAGUCAGGAAGAUAGAUAGACCCACCACUGCUGGGUGUAAGCAUGGAGGAAGGGGCCACAAGCCAAGGAUG